AACGAACGUUAGCGGUGUGGAUUAGGCAUGCAAGUCGCGCGUGAAAGCCUUCGGGCAAGUAAAGCGGCGUAAGGGUGAGUAACACGUAAUCAACCUUGCCCUCUAGAUUGGGAUAACCACCGGGAAACGGUGGGUAAUACCAAAUGGCCCUCUCGGGAGGCAUCUCCUGAGUGGUAAACGGUGGCGAAAGCUGCUGCUGGGGGGAAGGGGUUGCGGCCUAUCAGCUUGUUGGUGGGGUAACGCCCACAAGGCGAUGACGGGUAGCCGGUCUGAGAGGACGACCGGCCACACU
rnacentral:rRNA from 1 species